UAUUAAAUUAAUUUAUAGUUAAAAUUUAAAUUUAAGCUUUAAAAUAAGGAUUUAUUCCUCUAAAAGU
rnacentral:tRNA from 1 species